UACAGAGGGGGCAAGCGUUGUUCGGAAUUACUGGGCGUAAAGGGCGCGUAGGCGGCCUGUUAAGUCGAACGUGAAAUCCCCGGGCUCAACCCGGGAACUGCGUCCGAUACUGGCAGGCUUGAAUCCGGGAGAGGGAUGCGGAAUUCCAGGUGUAGCGGUGAAAUGCGUAGAUAUCUGGAGGAAUACCGGUGGCGAAGGCGGCAUCCUGGACCGAGAUUGACGCUGAUGAGCGAAAGCUAGGGGAGCAAACGGG
rnacentral:rRNA from 1 species